AACUCAACAAAACUUCCCCUUAGAACCCAA
rnacentral:sRNA from 1 species